CAGUAUUGGCGGAGCCAUCCUUGGGAUACCACCCUUGUAGUACUGGGACUCUAACCAUAGGCCAUGAAUCUGGUCUUGGGACACUGUCAGGUGGGCAGUUUGACUGGGGCGGUCGCCUCCCAAAAGGUAACGGAGGCGCUCAAAGGUUCUCUCAGUACGGUCGGCAAUCGUACGUAGAGUGUAAAGGCAAAAGAGAGCUUGAUUGCAAGACAUACAGGUCGAGCAAGGAUGAAAAUCGGACUUAGUGAUCCGGUGGUUCUGCGUGGAAGGGCCAUCGCUCAACGGAUAAAAGCUACCCUGGGGAUAACAGGCUUAUCUCCCCCAAGAGUCCACAUCGACGGGGAGGUUUGGCACCUCGAUGUCGGCUCAUCACAUCCUGGGGCUGUAGUAGGUCCCAAGGGUUGGGCUGUUCGCCCAUUAAAGUGGUACGCGAGCUGGGUUCAGAACGUCGUGAGACAGUUCGGUCCCUAUCCGUCGCAGGCGUAGGAAAUUUGAGAAGACCUGUCCUUAGUACGAGAGGACCGGGAUGGACGUACCUCUGGUGUACCAGUUGU
rnacentral:rRNA from 1 species